rnacentral:rRNA from 1 species
GAUGAACGCUGGCGGCGUGCCUAAUACAUGCAAGUCGAGCGAACAGACGAGGAGCUUGCUCCUCUGACGUUAGCGGCGGACGGGUGAGUAACACGUGGAUAACCUACCUAUAAGACUGGGAUAACUUCGGGAAACCGGAGCUAAUACCGGAUAAUAUAUUGAACCGCAUGGUUCAAUAGUGAAAGACGGUUUUGCUGUCACUUAUAGAUGGAUCCGCGCCGCAUUAGCUAGUUGGUAAGGUAACGGUUUACCAAGGCAACGAUGCGUAGCCGACCUGAGAGGGUGAUCGGCCACACUGGAACUGAGACACGGUCCAGACUCCUACGGGAGGCAGCAGUAGGGAAUCUUCCGCAAUGGGCGAAAGCCUGACGGAGCAACGCCGCGUGAGUGAUGAAGGUCUUCGGAUCGUAAAACUCUGUUAUUAGGGAAGAACAAAUGUGUAAGUAACUAUGCACGUCUUGACGGUACCUAAUCAGAGAGCCACGGCUAACUACGUG